rnacentral:rRNA from 1 species
UUAGCCGGUAGUUAGCUCACUGCAACUCUCACAUGGUCGCCCACUGCAGCUAAGCAGUGCUGCAUCUGGUCAGUACCUGGAUGGGAGACCACUUAGGAAAGCUAGGUUGCUGCCUAAA